AGUCUGGUGCCAGCAGCCGCGGUAAUUCCAGCUCCAAUAGCGUAUAUUAAAAUUGUAGCAGUUAAAAAGCUCGUAGUUGGAUUUCUGGUUUGGCGCACUUGGCCCGCCACGGUUACGUGGUUGUGUGCCGGUGUGCGCCUACCAUCCAUCUAGAGAACUAUUCCGCCCUUCACUGGGUUGGGGUAGGUAUCUAGAUCUUUUACUUUGAAAAAAUUAGAGUGUUUAAAGCAGGCUUGUGCUAUGAAUACAUUAGCAUGGAAUAAUAAUUUAGGACUUUGGUCUUAUUUUGUUGGUUUCUAGGACUGAAGUAAUGAUUGAUAGGGAUAGUUGGGGGUGCUAGUAUUCAGCGGCCAGAGGUGAAAUUCUUGGAUUCGCUGAAGACUAACUUAUGCGAAAGCAUUCACCAAGGAUGUCUUCUUUAAUCAAGAACGAAAGUUGGGGGAUCGAAGACGAUCAGAUACCGUCGUAGUCUCAACCAUAAACUAUGCCGACUAGGGAUGAGUGAACGUUGCUUAUUCGACUUCAUUCGCACCUUAUGAGAAAUCAAAGUCUUUGGGUUCCGGGGGGAGUAUGGUCGCAAGGCUGAAACUUAAAGGAAUUGACGGAAGGGCACCACCAGGAGUGGAGCCUGCGGCUUAAUUUGACCCAACACGGGAAAACUUACCAGGUCCAGACAUAGUAAGGAUUGACAGAUUGAAGAUCUUUCUUGAUUCUAUGGGUGGUGGUGCAUGGCCGUUCUUGCUUGGUGGAGUGAUUUGUCUGGUUAAUUCCGUUAACGAACGAGACCUCGACCUGCUAAAUAGUUUGAUGAAUGCUCCGGCAUUGAUUUACGACUUCUUAGAGGGACUAUCGGUGAUUUAGCCGAUGGAAGUUCGAGGCAAUAACAGGUCUGUGAUGCCCUUAGAUGUCCUGGGCCGCACGAGCGCUACACUGAUACGUUCAUCGAGCUUACAACCUUGGUUGAGAGGCCUGGGUAAUCUUUUUAAACCGUAUCGUGCUGGGGAUAGAUUAUUGUAAUUUUUAAUCUUCGACGAGGAAUUCCUAGUAAACGCUGGUCAUCAACCAGCAUUGAUUACGUCCCUGCCCUUUGUACACACCGCCCGUCGCUACUACCGAUUGAAUGGCUUAGUGAGCUUCAGGGAUUGUUCUAGCUGGAAGGUUCUCCUUCCUACUAGAUCCGAGAACUGAAUCAAACUUGAUCAUUUAGAGGAAGUAAAGUCGUAACAAGGUUUCCGUAGGUGAACCUGCGGAAG
rnacentral:rRNA from 1 species